ensembl:lncRNA
CCCAGGCAAGUAUACUGGAGCGGGUAGCCUUUUUCUGCUCCAGGGGAUCUUCCUGACCAGGGAUCAAACCUGGGUCUCCUUCUUUGCAGGCAGAUUCUUUACCCUCUGAACCACCAGAGAAGCCCAUAAUUUAAGUUAAAAUUUGGCCACUAGAGGGGCUUCCCUGGUGGCUCAGCUGGCUUAAAAAAAAAAAAAAAAAAAAAAAACGCCUGCAAAGUGGGAGACCUGGGUUUGAUCCCUGGGAUGGGAAGAUCCCCUGGGGAAGGGCAUGACAGUAUUCUUGCCUGGAGAAUCCCCAAAGACAGAGAAGCCUGGCGGGUUACAGUCCAUGGGGUUGCAAAAAGUCAGACACAACUGAGUGACUAAGCACAGCACACAGCCCUCAUCCAGUGCGGCUGGGUCCUUAUGAAAGAAGAGUUCAGGACACAGACACAGAGGGAAGACCCUGUGAAGGCAAGGAGAAGAUGGCCAUCUGCAGGGAGAGCGGCCUCAGAAGAAAGCAAAUCCACCAACAACUUGAUGUCUAACUUGCAGCCUCCGGAAAUCGUGACUCAUCAACUCAGUGGACAUGAGUUUGAGCAAACUCUGGGAGAUAGUGAAGGACAGGGAAGCCUGGCGUACUGCAGUCCAUGGGUUCACAAAGAGUCGGAUACGACUGAGUGACUGAACAAUGCUUUAUCUCCAGUGAUGGAAAACCUGCCUAAGGAUCCCUGAGCAUUAGGCCACUGAAAACUGUCUUUACCCUACAGAAGAGCCUGUUUCAACAUCUGUUUUCCUUGAAGAAAACAUGUUCCAAGAACAACCAGCUCAGACGGUGAAGAAUCCGCCUGCAGUUCAAUCCCUGGAUUGGGAAGAUCCCCUAGAGGAGGGCAUGGCAACCCACCCCAGUAUUCUUGCCUGGAGAAUUCUCAGACAGAGGAGCCUGGCAGGCUACUGUUCAUGGGGUCACAAAGAGCCGGACAGGACUGAGCGACUGAGCACAGUCUCAUCUAAAGAAAAGAAUCCACCUGCCAGUGCCGGAGAUGCAGGUUGGAUCCCUGUGUCUGGAAGAUCCCUGGAGAAGGAAAUGGCCACCCUCUCCAGUAUUCUUGCCUGGAGAAUCCCAUGGACAGAGGAGCCUGGCGGGCUUCCGUCCAUGGGGUGGCAGAGUCGGACACGACUGAGCGACUAAGCACACAGCGUGUACUUCUAAAGUCUGUACGUAGGUUCAGUUCUUGGCCUCCUCUUUUCUACAUAUGCAGCAUUGCCUGUGCCUGGAACACCCCCUGUACACUCUACUUUCUCUUGUCCAGCCUCAGCACUCUCAUCCGCUCUGCUUUUAUUCUAGUUAACUCUUGCUGUUAAGCCUCUGCUGAAGCCCUACCUCCUGAAGUCAUAAGAGCUUCAGGAAGCCUUCCUGAAGUCAUGAGAGCUCAUACCCCAUGUGUUUCCACUUCUGUAAUCCUCACGACGCACCUUCGCUACUUGUUUCAUGUCCAUUUUCUCCAUAAAUUGUAAACUCCAUCCAGGCAGAAACUUGCUCUUUGUAUCUCUAGCGUGCGCCCUUCAAGCACUACCUGAAUAGACUUGGCCCUCCUAGGAAUGAAAUAUCCAUCUGAUUUUCAUAUUCUGAUGCAGAAGAACCAUCUCCCCAGCUUUCCCAUCCCCUUUUCUCUCUCUCCUUUUUUGUCCUAUCUUUUUGAAUAAGCUUAGCUGCAGACAGAGUGUGUUAGCCCAGACAGCCCCCUCCAGUGCAGUAAUCACAUCUCUUCCAGAAUGUUCUUUGUUUGAAAUCCUGUUAAAAAAUACUCAAGUUCAGCCUGACUACACAAAUGAUGCUUCAGCAAUAACAGAAUUAUUUGUUUUUCAAAAAUAAUGUUUUCUCUUGCUCAUAUGCUCACAGCAAAGCUUGCGUGAUAUGAAUAAAUGUUAUUAAAAGUCCAGGUCAUCCUCAAGGGUUAUGUAAGCCUGUUGCGGGAAAGUUUGUGGUCACAGAAGGAGUGUUAGAGUUUGGGGAGAGAAGAGGACUCAGGAAGCAGCCGAGCCUGUCUGUUGCUGGGUUUCCCUCCUCUGGAGAUUCAUGUGAGGCUCAACAAGAGACUCUCACCUGUCCAGCCCUUCGCGUCAUUAGCAUCUGCAGAAUCAAAGGGAGGAAUUACUGAUCUGUGACAGGAAGAAAGUGCUUAGGCACUGCCUCUGUGUGCUCAUAUAGAAAGAACAUUUCACGAAUGCACAUUCAGCGGGUCGUUCUGGUUUUCCUGAUUUUUACCUCUGGCCACUGUCCAUGAGGUUGCUAAGAGUCGGACACGACUGAGCAACUUCACCUUCACUUUUCACUUUCCUGCAUUGGAGACGGAAAUGGCAGCCCACUCCAGUGUUCUUGCCUGGAGAAUCCCAGGGACGAGGGAGCCUGAUGGGCUGCCAUCUAUGGGGUCGCACAGAGUCGGGCACGACUGAAGCGACUUAGCAGCAGCACCACCACCAGUUUCUAGAUACCUUGUUCUAGACGCCCUUGCUUUUACCAGAGACUUCACGCCCUCUGGUGGUGAGUAUGAAGUACACCAGCGCAGUCAGCUUGGUUCACUUUACCUGAAAAUUCCAUGGACUGAGAGGCUCCUCAGAGCCUGGUAGGCUACAGUCCACGGUCUCGCAAAGAGUCGGACACGACUGAGCGACUUCACUUUCACUUUCAUCUGAACCCUGUAAAGACUAUGAAAUGGUAGGUGAUUUUUACCUCAAUUAUGACUGUGAUCUGUUUCCAAAUAUUAGCAUAUUAAUCAUUAAGUUUCAGUUUAGUGGGUAUUAAGUGCCUUGCCUGGUAAGCAUAAAUUUACAACUGGACUAUUUCAAUCCUAGUAUUUUACAGUGGUUCUCAAGUUUUGAUGUGCGAAAGAAUCACCAGAGAAAUCUGAUUAAAGCUCCAGUUCUCAACCACAGCUCCAGACGUCCUUGUUCGGCAGGCUUUGGGUUUCCCAGAAAUAGGCCCAUUUAAAAUGAGCCCCGGGGGGAUUCCCUGGUGGCUCAGUGGUAAAGAAUCUGUCUGCCAAUUUCAGAGUUAGGAUUGGCACAAGAGAAGCCACUGCGAUGAGAAGCCCACUUGCUUCAGCUGGAGAAAAGCCCAUCAGCCACAGAGACCCAGGACAGCCAAAGAUAAGUGCAUAGUUAGUUAUCCUUUAAAAGACGAGCCUCUGACGAGGUCGACCUGUGUGAGCUGUACUUUGAGAAAUGCUGGCUUAAAUACUAACAGUACGGAUUUGGAACCAAACCCAAGUCCCGUCUCUGCCGGUAGUAUGACAUUGGAUUGUCCCAUCCGUAAGAAGGCAAUGAGAAUAUUUACUCCAUAGAUCUGUCGCAGGGUAAAACGAGACCCUAAUUUAAAGGGCUUGGCAGGAUCUGGUCAUGGCAGGGACCCAGUACAUGCCAGCUCUUAUUAUGUGUAGUAUUGAUUUAAUUAGGUCAAACUAUGAGCGACUUCCCUUUCACUUUUCACUUUCAUG